rnacentral:rRNA from 1 species
UACAGAGGUCCCGAGCGUUGUUCGGAUUCACUGGCGUAAGGGCGCGUAGGCGGCCACCGCAAGUCGACUGUGAAAUCUCCGGGCUUAACCCGGAAAGGUCAGCCGAUACUGCGGGGCUAGAGUGCAGAAGGGGCAACUGGAAUUCUCGGUGUAGCGGUGAAAUGCGUAGAUAUCGAGAGGAACACCUGCGGCGAAGGCGGGUUGCUGGGCUGACACUGACGCUGAGGCGCGAAAGCUAGGGGAGCGAACGGG